rnacentral:pre_miRNA from 1 species
UGCGGUUGUGCGAGUGUGUGUGUGUGUGUGUGUGAACCCCAGUCCCACCCCUAACAUACACCCCCUCCCCAGCUC